AAAUUCGCUGUAAAAAUGGCCAAGGUUACUUCAGGUCACCUAAUCACGUGACACAACCGUCACAUUGAAGAAGUACCAGUAUCACCCAGGCUGGCGACCAUGGAGGCGAACUCAAACCCAACGGAACUUUUGCUGGAUCAUAUUUUUGAUAGGCUCCGUGAUCGUUUGGAGCAUGUUCUGGAACGGAUGCCCCUGGAUCUGGAUUUCCUAGACUUUAUCUGCACUCAAGAAUUAGCAUUUCAGGAUAUCUGAAACAGUUCAUUGCAAAUGCCACACCACCUGAACUGAAAGAGUUGAUGAAAUUCUGGACCGGUUGGGAAAAUCUUCCAUCAAGUCUGUCGGUGGAGAUUGUUCAUGGGAACUACCCAACAGCUGCCACAUGCUACGAAACACUAAAACUUCCCUGUCAUUACAAGAAUUAAAAGUCAUUCAGUGAGGACUUCUUAGCAUGCAUUUCCUCUACACAAUCUGGAUUUGGCUUGAUCUGAGUGAUCGACUUGUUAAAAAAAAAAA